rnacentral:rRNA from 1 species
CAUUUGAGUGAGUGGCGGACGGGUGAGUAACACGUGGGUAACCUGCCCUAAAGUGGGGGAUAACAUUUGGAAACAGAUGCUAAUACCGCAUAAAACCUAACACCGCAUGGUGUAGGGUUGAAAGAUGGUUUCGGCUAUCACUUUAGGAUGGACCCGCGGUGCAUUAGUUAGUUGGUGAGGUAAAGGCUCACCAAGACCGUGAUGCAUAGCCGACCUGAGAGGGUAAUCGGCCACACUGGGACUGAGACACGGCCCAGACUCCUACGGGAGGCAGCAGUAGGGAAUCUUCCACAAUGGACGAAAGUCUGAUGGAGCAACGCCGCGUGAGUGAAGAAGGUUUUCGGAUCGUAAAACUCUGUUGUUGGAGAAGAAUGUAUCUGAUAGUAACUGAUCAGGUAGUGACGGUAUCCAACCAGAAAGCCACGGCUAACUACGUGCCAGCAGCCGCGGUAAUACGUAGGUGGCAAGCGUUGUCCGGAUUUAUUGGGCGUAAAGCGAGCGCAGGCGGUUUCUUAAGUCUGAUGUGAAAGCCUUCGGCUCAACCGAAGAAGUGCAUCGGAAACUGGGAAACUUGAGUGCAGAAGAGGACAGUGGAACUCCAUGUGUAGCGGUGAAAUGCGUAGAUAUAUGGAAGAACACCAGUGGCGAAGGCGGCUGUCUGGUCUGUAACUGACGCUGAGGCUCGAAAGCAUGGGUAGCAAACAGGAUUAGAUACCCUGGUAGUCCAUGCCGUAAACGAUGAGUGCUAGGUGUUGGAGGGUUUCCGCUCUUCAGUGCCGCAGCUAACGCAUUAAGCACUCCGCCUGGAGAGUACGACCGCAAGGUUGAAACUCAAAGGAAUUGACGGGCGCCCGCACAAGCGGUGGAGCAUGUGGUUUAAUUCGAAGCAACGCGAAGAACCUUACCAGGUCUUGACAUCCUUUGACCACUCUAGAGAUAGAGCUUUCCCUUCGGGGACAAAGUGACAGGUGGUGCAUGGUUGUCCUCAGCUCGUGUCAUGAGAUGUUGGGUUAAGUCCCGCAACGAGCGCAACCCUUAUUACUAGUUGCCAGCAUUAAGUUGGGCACUCUAGUGAGACUGCCGGUGACAACCGGAGGAAGGUGGGGACGACGUCAAUCAUCCUGCCCCUUAUGACCGGGC